rnacentral:rRNA from 1 species
GAAAGGAAGUGGCGGGCUCGCUACAACUCCGAGCGUAGUAAUUCAUUAUCUCGCUAGGGAGGUUGCGGCGUGCUCCUGCCGUUAAAGACCCAUCUUUAACCAAGGUUGACCUCGGAUCAGGUAGGAAUACCCGCUGAACUUAAGCAUAUCAAUAAGCGGAGGAAAAGAAACCAACAGGGAUUGCCCUAGUAACGGCGAGUGAAGCGGCAACAGCUCAAAUUUGAAAUCUGGCUUCGGCCCGAGUUGUAAUUUGUAGAGGAUGCUUUUGGUGAGGUGCCUUCUGAGUUCCCUGGAACGGGACGCCAGAGAGGGUGAGAGCCCCGUAUAGUCGGCCACCGAUCCUUUGUAAAGCUCCUUCGACGAGUCGAGUAGUUUGGGAAUGCUGCUCAAAAUGGGAGGUAUAUCUCUUCUAAAGCUAAAUAUAGGCCAGAGACCGAUAGCGCACAAGUAGAGUGAUCGAAAGAUGAAAAGCACUUUGAAAAGAGGGUUAAAUAGCACGUGAAAUUGUUGAAAGGGAAGCGCUUGUGACCAGACUUGUGCCGGGCUGAUCAUCCAGUGUUCUCACUGGUGCACUCGA